rnacentral:rRNA from 1 species
GCCUACGGGGCGCAGCAGUAGGGAAUCUUCCACAAUGGGCGCAAGCCUGAUGGAGCAACACCGCGUGAGUGAAGAAGGGUUUCGGCUCGUAAAGCUCUGUUGUUGGAGAAGAAAGUGGGUGAGAGGAACUGUUCACGGAGUGACGGUAUCAAACCCGAAAGCCACGGCUAACUACGUGCCAGCAGCCGCGGUUAUACGGAGGUGGCAAGCGUUAUCCGGAGUUAUUGGGCGUAAAGCGAGCGCAGGCGG